AAAAAAUGGUCUAGAGACCAAGACCGAUCUCGAGUACUACAACACUGUUACUGAGCUGUGUGUUUAUGAUCAGGCCUUUAAUAAAGUAAACAGAGCGCUGCUGUGGGGACCACACCGUAUGAGAGACGAGGGACCCAGACCGAGGUGGCCGAGGCCCCGGGAAGCCUCGGAGGGUUUAUCGGUCAGAAAGGCUCCAGAGAGCCGAGAGAGACUCGGAGGGACCCGGAGCGGCAACACUUACCUCUGUUAACAAGUCAACAUGUUAU